ACGAACGCUGGCGGUGUGCUUAACACAUGCAAGUCGCACGGUAAGGCCCUUUCGGGGGUACACGAGUGGCGAACGGGUGAGUAACACGUGAGUAACCUGCCCUCAUCUCUGGGAUAACAGUCGGAAACGGUUGCUAAUACUGGAUAUGAGCCUGCAAGGCAUCUUGUGGGUUGGAAAGAUUUUUUGGUUGGGGAUGGACUCGCGGCCUAUCAGCUUGUUGGUGAGGUAGUGGCUCACCAAGGCUUCGACGGGUAGCCGGCCUGAGAGGGCGACCGGCCACAUUGGGACUGAGAUACGGCCCAAACUCCUACGGGAGGCAGCAGUGGGGAAUAUUGCACAAUGGACGGAAGUCUGAUGCAGCAACGCCGCGUGCGGGAUGACGGCCUUCGGGUUGUAAACCGCUUUCAAUUGUGACGAAGCUUUUUGUGACGGUAGCAGUAGAAGAAGCACCGGCUAACUACGUG
rnacentral:rRNA from 1 species